GUUGAUGCUGUUGUUUCUCAUAUGCAGAGGUCUGCGUUUGGGGUAACAAAUAAUUUUAUUAUUAUUCUUGCAGGCGGUCACACAAUGGCCGCCGUAUAGAAGUAGAAGUUCCUACUCUCAAAAGUAAAACAGUACCAGGUGGGCUGCGAUUUUCCGCCAUCGCGGAUAUUUGAGAACGCCGAUGCUUUACCAAAAAAGUAUGUUGUUGUUUGUUUUACUAUAUUGUCUUCCCAUGCCAACAUGGAUUUGCUAUACUGCUCUUGGAGAUAGAAACGAUUAGCUGAAAAUUAUGAUGCUUAGUAAUAAGAUCAUGGUUUAGUAUUCAGGCAGCUAUAUUUUCUUACCAUUUGUCCAUGUUUUGCUUUUUAGAAGGAAAUGUUACACAUAAGGCAUUGGUUAUACUGAGGCCUGCGUCUAAUCAUUAGGCAGCAAUGUCUGGACUACUUUCCACCAAAUAGUGAUAAGUUGGCUAUUCUUUUGUGUCUGCUUGUGCAGCUGUGUGAUGAUGUCGAUGAAGUCAGAUUGUAUAUAAUGCAUGGCGGUAGCAUACCCUAGCGCGGCUUGGGCAAGGGCACAACUGGAGACGUCCGCGGGUGGGUGGACAACGGAGGCUGUGGACCAUCAGCAGAAAGGUUGACCAAAACUGUUGGCACAUAUUAAUCAUCAUCGGGAGGUCGACUAAUAAUCACAUUGAGCUACUGGAGAAAUACAAAGUUAUUGAUAGAUCACAAUACAAAUGGUCUUUAAAGUCCACUUGGAAGCUCCUGCUUGUAAUUGAUGAAGGCAAGAUUUACUACUUCCAGGGAGUAGGAGAUCAAAGUACAGCAGCAUUUAAAGAAGUGGCAAUAAUUAGCCAUCCCCGUGCUGGUGAAUACGCAUUUGGAUUUAUAACAUCGAGCAUGAUUCUUCAGCUCUCUACGGAAAUAAUUUUUUCUGGAGGAAUGACCAUGCCGCAGGUGAUUACAGUGCUAGGACCUGCCACUGAUAAGAACCAGGGCACCCGUUGAAACAGAAUGAUGACUGUGUGAGACUUAAAAUAUCGCCAGCACAUCAGGUAUUGGCAUCUAACCUUUGUAGAUGUUUACAGCUACUAAAGGAACACCAAAGUCGUGGAUAAUGCUACAUCCGAUGUACAAUUUAUAGAUUAGAAGCUGGAACAUAAGGACUGUGUGAUGGAGUAAACACUGGUUGUUUAUAUUAGGCGGGAGGGAUAUUAAAGUGCGGUGCUCACACCGCACUUAGGUGGCUUACUAAGAUUACUGAAAAUGGUUUGUGGUUCUUGUGUGCUCACAGAACGACAGCUUAGUUACUGAUGUUAGGUCAUUACAAUGCAA